AACGAUGAACCACAUUCGGUGGGGAUUAGUGGCGAACGGGUGAGUAACACGUGGGCAAUCUGCCCUUCACUCUGGGACAAGCCCUGGAAACGGGGUCUAAUACCGGAUACGACCUGCCAAGGCAUCUUGGUGGGUGGAAAGCUCCGGCGGUGAAGGAUGAGCCCGCGGCCUAUCAGCUUGUUGGUGAGGUAACGGCUCACCAAGGCGACGACGGGUAGCCGGCCUGAGAGGGCGACCGGCCACACUGGGACUGAGACACGGCCCAGACUCCUACGGGAGGCAGCAGUGGGGAAUAUUGCACAAUGGGCGAAAGCCUGAUGCAGCGACGCCGCGUGAGGGAUGACGGCCUUCGGGUUGUAAACCUCUUUCAGCAGGGAAGAAGCGAAAGUGACGGUACCUGCAGAAGAAGCGCCGGCUAACUACGUGCCAGCAGCCGCGGUAAUACGUAGGGCGCAAGCGUUGUCCGGAAUUAUUGGGCGUAAAGAGCUCGUAGGCGGCUUGUCACGUCGGUUGUGAAAGCCCGGGGCUUAACCCCGGGUCUGCAGUCGAUACGGGCAGGCUAGAGUUCGGUAGGGGAGAUCGGAAUUCCUGGUGUAGCGGUGAAAUGCGCAGAUAUCAGGAGGAACACCGGUGGCGAAGGCGGAUCUCUGGGCCGAUACUGACGCUGAGGAGCGAAAGCGUGGGGAGCGAACAGGAUUAGAUACCCUGGUAGUCCACGCCGUAAACGGUGGGCACUAGGUGUGGGCAACAUUCCACGUUGUCCGUGCCGCAGCUAACGCAUUAAGUGCCCCGCCUGGGGAGUAC
rnacentral:rRNA from 1 species